rnacentral:lncRNA from 1 species
ACAGGUUUUGGACACUAUGUAAAUCUAUUAACAGGUUUUUUUCCCCCAGUUUAGUUGUUAUGGUCAGUUGGUAAAGCUAACAUCCCGUUAAACUCUUGAUGCAGGAGCAUUACCCUCAUUCAUUUGGGUGUGACACAUUGGAUGCACAUUGGAUCUAGGUGUGUGAGGGAAAAAUCAAGUCCAAGUUGUGGUGUGUUUGAGUCCAUGUAAUAAGUGAUUUAAUUCACAAUCGGUUAGUGUCUCCAAUGCCUAAUUAGAUUGAGUCCAAGGCAUUGAUUGGGUCAAGUAGAAGAAAUUCAGAGUUCAGAUCUAGUUGAAAUCCGUGACAGGUUGAACACCAUAUAGUAUUUUAAACAUUUCGGAAGCUACAGAAGUCUGAUUAAGUUGAUUCAAAUUUUGUUGGAAAGUAGACAUCCGUAGCUUUCUAAUGACUAUAAGAACAUGAAAUUUGGAGAUCGGAUGAAAUUUGAGGAGUCUCCCGAACUUCAUGCUGAUGUUGGUACCCGAGAAGGAGUUCCACCUAGAUAAAUAUUCAUGGCAUGCGGCUGAAUUCCUUUUGAUGGGUUUCAAUCCACACCCAUAGAUAUGGAUCUUAGGUGUUUAGGCUUAGGUGUCAAGGUAUUUGAUUGGUCAAUUAGAAAAUUUGAAUUUUAAAAAAGUCCUCAUGUGAUUAGGAGUCCAAUUUAAAAUUCUGUGUAGUCCUUAUCCUUUGCCAACCUUUCUUUCUAUAUAAAGGAGGGUAUGAUGAAUGAAAUUAGCUUUGGAUUUCGAAAUUGUUAUUUGUUUGCGUGAAGAGAGGCUACUCCUCUUGCUGGUGCGACGCCAAAGGGGCUGAGGGAAGGUGGGACGCCUCCCCUUCACUCCAUUUGAAAUUGGGUUGGUUUUGGAUGAGAUUUUCCUAACUAACUCAACCUUAUCCUUAUCCAUUCUCUUUCUCCUCACGCCUCCACCCUUUGUGUGCGCCAUCCUUGCUUGCCACCUCAUCCACCAGCAAUUUCCUCACGCCCAUUACCCUCUCACAUCCUCCCCUUGGGUCGAAGGCAAUUCAAACUCUAAUUAAACCCAUUUCAGCCUACAUGCAAAUGAACCAACCAAUUUCAGCUGCCCACUAAACUUGGUGCCUAAUUUUGGUCCAUUGGCUGACCCUCCUUGAACCCAAUCUCGCCAUCCAGCAACCCAUCUUCUUCCUCCUUCCUUCCACCACAAAGAACCCUAGCCUCCAUUGCCAUUGCUUAGAGAAAAAAAAAAUUCAGCCAUCAUCAAAGAAGAAAAAUUCUGCAGCCCACCCCGUUCGGCGUCAAUUGGUAUCAGAGCGAAUCCUUGUCGCCAUGAGUACCAGAAGUAGUCGCCCCUACAACAAUGAACGACAACGUGCUGAGAUGAUGGCCGAGCUCAUCCAGCAAGUGGCGGCCUUGAAUUAGAAGGUAGAAGUUGUUUGGGAUCGUCUCUUCCCCGAGCCAAACAAUCUUGAAGACGAACAUGCUGUCCCCGCGCAACCUGAAAAUUCAGAAGUGCCAUUUGGAGGAGACCCCGACGUUGAAGCAUUCUCCCCCGGGGGUCUAUCACCCCAAAGGCCACCUAGGGGUCAGCGGAUGCCCCCUCCAAACGUUCCUCGUAUGGGGAAUAAUUUCAGGAACCCCUAUGUUCAUCAAAAUCAGCGGGAGCGCAAUGAUCUCGACGAUGUCAUGAAGCGGGUUCGUGUAGAAGUUGCUGAUUACAGCGGAAGCAUGGACCCAACCCACUUCCAGAAUUGGCUGAUGUCUCUCGAAGACUACUUCGAAUGGUUCAGCAUGCCCAAUGAAACCAAGGUGCGAUUCGUGAAGAUGAAGCUCAAGGGCCAAGCACGCAUAUGGUGGCAUAGCGUUGAAGAGAAGCUUCAUCGACUCCGACAGCCCCCUAUCAAUGAUUGGAAGAACAUGAAACUUCGUUUGAAGGAAAAGUUUCUUCCCCUUGAUUAUGAGGAGACACUCUUCGAAGAACUUCUGAAACUUCGUCAAGGAAGCUCUUCCGUAGAGGAGUAUACGGCCCGAUUCCAUGAGUUGAUGAUCCGCAGCAACCUCACGGAGACGGAUCGACAAUUCCUAACUCGGUACCGAUCCGGGCUGAGGGAUGACAUCAAGAGGGAGCUAAUGACGACGCGCAUCUUCAGCCUAGAGGAGGCAUACCAACUCGCCAUUCGAGUUGAAUCGCAGCUACGACAAAGACGCCCUGCGCAAGCCCCGGUUGCACGACGAUUUUCUGAGCGCAGCACCAACCGAGGAGUUCCAUUUCCUCGAGGUAACGCCCCUGCUUUUAGAUCUGAAACCUCUGUAAAUAGAAGCACAUAUCAGGAAAGGGGUGCUCCAAGGGCUAAUGAAAAGGGUAAAGGUCCUAUGCCACAAUCCACGCCGCAAGAGAAGAAUCCUGUUGAAUGCUACAAGUGCGGCGGGCGAGGCCAUUUCGCCGUUGUUUGUCCUACCCGAGACCAACGAUUUGCGUUGGUAUGUGAGGAAGAUGAGAUCAUAGGACCCUCUGAAGUCACUCCUCCCUCUCAGCCCGCUGAUGAAGAGGAAAAUGAAGGGAACGAAGAACAUGAUGAAGAAGCCCCUGCGGUGGAGCUAGAAGCUUCAGAUCUACCCGUGUGCGUCGUGCGACGGGUUCUUACGGGUUGCAAGCAAGAGGAGAACGUGGAGGAAGAUUGGAGGCGCACCAAUAUCUUCCACACUCGCGUCGAGCAUGCCAACAAGUCUCUAAACCUCAUCAUUGACAAUGGAAGCUGCAUGAACAUCAUUUCCGAAGAAGUGCUGAAAAAACUGAAUCUGAAAUCGGUACCGCAUCCAAAGCCGUAUCGGGUAAGUUGGAUCGAAGACUCCUCCAUCCCUGUUAAACAAAGAUGCUUGAUCAGUUUUUCACUUGGUAAGGACUUCCGAGAUGAAGUAUGGUGCGAUGUUCUGCCCAUGAAAGCGUGCCAUCUUCUUCUAGGAAGACCUUGGUUGUAUGAUCGUAGUGUCAAGUAUGACGGUCGAUCCAAUUGUUAUUCUCUAUAUUGUGCCAACAAAAGAGUUGUGUUAAAGCCCCUUCAGAUCACUGAUUUUACCUCUGAAAAUCUGAUAAUCCAACGGAUUUUAAUCAUGAGAAAGUUUGAAGCUUGUAGCCGAGAGAUUGGAGUCAUGUAUGCACUAGUGUCUAGGGAAGUUGGGGCUGAAAUUUCAGAAAUUGUUCCUCCUGAUUUCAAGUCUAUAUUGGAUGAUUUUUCUGAUGUAACCCCUGAGGACCUUUCCAAGGAGCUUCCACCGAUGAGGGACAUCCAACAUGCCAUAGAUUUGGUGCCCGGUUCAAGCUUACCGAAUCUUCCCGCAUACCGGCUGAAUCUGAGAGAACAUGAGGAGCUUCACCGNNNNNNNNNNNNNNNNNNNNNNNNNNNNNNNNNNNNNNNNNNNNNNNNNNNNNNNNNNNNNNNNNNNNNNNNNNNNNNNNNNNNNNNNNNNNNNNNNNNNNNNNNNNNNNNNNNNNNNNNNNNNNNNNNNNNNNNNNNNAAGUACCGUUUCCCGAUCCCGCGGCUUGACAUGCUGGAUUUGUUGCAUGGAGCCACCAUCUUCUCCAAGUUGGACCUUCGAAGUGGCUACCAUCAGAUCAAAAUCAGACUUGGGGAUGAGUGGAAGACGACAUUUAAGACCAAGGAUGGCCUCUAUGAAUGGAUGGUUAUGCCGUUUGGUCUCUCCAAUGCGCCAAGUACUUUCAUGCGGGUUAUGAAUCAAGUGUUGAAACCGUACAUUGGGCGCUUUGUGGUUGUUUAUUUUGAUGACAUUUUGAUUUUCAGUCGUAGCCGUGUGGAGCAUCAGCAACAUCUUCACCAAGUGCUUCUUACACUUCGAUCAGAAAAACUUUAUAUUAACCUGAAGAAGUGCUUCUUUGCUGAAUCACAAGUACCAUUUCUUGGUUUCAUAAUUUCAGAUCAAGGUGUUGCAGCGGACCCGGAGAAAGUUCAUGCCAUUCGGGAAUGGCCGACGCCAAGUAACAUUCAUGAGGUGAGGAGCUUCCAUGGCUUGGCUUCCUUCUACCGCCGGUUCAUAAAAAAUUUCCGCAGCAUAAUAGCACCAAUCACCAAUUGUAUGAAGGCUGAAAAUUUCCGUUGGACGCCAGCCGCCACUAGAGCUUUUGAAGACAUCAAGGAGCGUCUAACCCAAGCCCCAAUUCUUCGACUUCCAGACUUUGAUCAGCUCUUCGAGGUCGCUUGUGAUGCUUCUCACGUCGGGAUUGAUGGAGUUCUGAGCCAAGAAGGUCAUCCCAUUGCUUUCUACAGCGAAAAGCUCAACGACCCCAAGCGAAGGUAUUCCACUUAUGAUAUUAAGUUUUAUGCUAUGGUUCAAACUCUUAAACAUUGGAAGCAUUAUCUCCUACAUCGAGAAUUUAUCAUGUACACCGAUCACGACUCUCUAAAGUACAUCAAUUCACAAAAGAAGCUAAGCGCGCGACAUGCAAGAUAGGUGAAUGUACUGCAGCAAUUUACUUUUGUAUUGAAGCAUAGACCGGGUGUAGAAAAUCGAGUCGCUGAUGCCCUUAGCCGGAAGACACAUGUUCUCAUCCUCUUGAAUGCAGAAGUAACGGGCUUCAAUGAUCUGAAAAUUCUAUAUUCUACUGAUACAUAUUUUCAGCCUAUCUACGCCGAAAUUUCAGCAGGGAGUCACCGGCAGCAUUCUGAUUUUUCGAUCCAUGACGACUUUCUCUUCCGUGGCACACGCCUAUGUAUUCCAGAAACCUCUCUUCGCGACCGCAUCAUCCGGGAGGUUCAUGAGGGAGGUCUUGCUGGUCACUUCGAGCGUGACAAGACCGUCGUUACGAUGGAGGACAGGUUCUAUUGGCCGACCCUGUGCAAGGAUGUCCACCGAAUCAUCAAACAUUGCCGAACUUGUCAACUAGCCAAGGGAACAAAAUCCAAUGUCGGCCUCUACUCUCCACUACCAUUGCCGAGCUCACCAUGGGAGGAUCUCAGCAUGGACUUCGUGCUUGGGUUGCCCAAGACGGCACGAGGACAUGAUUCUAUUUUUGUCAUUGUUGACAGGUUUUCAAAGAUGUCGCACUUUGUGCCCUGUGCGAAGACUUAUGAUGUAUCACGAGUUGCUGAUUUGUUCUUAAAAGAAGUGGUUCGUCUACAUGGGCUCCCGAAGACUAUUGUAUCUGAUCGUGAUGUCAAGUUCGUUAGCUAUUUUUGGAAGACACUUUGGGCGAAGCUUGGCACCCGUCUUUCCUUCUCCAGCGCCUAUCACCCCCAAACCGAUGGGCAGACCGAGGUGGUCAACCGCAGUCUUGGGAACCUUCUUCGAUGCUUAAUCCGGGAUCAUGUGAAGUCAUGGGAUCUAAUUUUACCCCAUGCUGAGUUUGCCUACAACAGCAGUGUCAACCGUACCACAGGAUUGUCACCUUUCGAGAUUGUUCUCGGAUUGAAGCUGCGGCGGCCUAUUGAUCUUGUACCACUUCCCAUCAAUACAAGGACCAGCGAAGGUGGUGAAGACUUCGCCAGGCACAUACAAGACAUCCAUGCUGAAGUUCGACGUCGUUGGGUCACCAACACCGAGAUUUACAAGCAACAAGCAGACCUGAAGCGACGUCCCCUGGAAUUCAAAGAAGGAGACCUUGUGAUGAUGCGGUUGAGUGCUGAACGCUUCCCUCGCAGAAAUUUUCAGAAGCUUCAUCCUCGUCGCGCCGGUCCCUUCAAGAUACUGAAACGAAUGGGACCUAAUGCAUAUGUGCUUGAUUUGCCUGAAGACUUGCAGGUUAGCCCAAUUUUCAAUGUUGAAGACCUGCAGCUUUACGAAGGACACUAUGCUGAAGAUGAAGACCCUCCAGCCAUACCACCAUCACUACCACGUCGAUCAGCCCCUAAAGACACCAUUGAAGACAUUUUGGAUGAUCAAAUUGUGUCCACACGUCGAGGGGGAUAUCAGAAAUUUCUGGUUAAAUGGAAAGGCAGAUCAAUUUCAGAUUGUUCUUGGUUAAAGACGGAGGAAGUCCAACGGUUGAACCCGGAUCUCUACGAGCUCUAUCAGUCACAGAACUCGACAGAGUCGAGUCUUUUUCCAGCCGGGGAGAAUUGAUGCAGGAGCAUUACCCUCAUUCAUUUGGGCGUGACACAUUGGAUGCACAUUGGAUCUAGGUGUGUGAGGGAAAAAUCAAGUCCAAGUUGUGGUGUGUUUGAGUCCAUGUAAUAAGUGAUUUAAUUCACAAUCGGUUAGUGUCUCCAAUGCCUAAUUAGAUUGAGUCCAAGGCAUUGAUUGGGUCAGGUGGAAGAAAUUCAGAGUUCAGAUCCAGUUGAAAUCCGUGACAGAUUGAACACCAUAUAGUAUUUUGAAGAUUUCGGGAGCUACAGAAGUCUGAUUAAGUUGAUUCAAAUUUUGUUGGAAAGUAGACAUCCGUAGCUUUCCAAUGACUAUUUAGAACAUGAAAUUUGGAGAUCGGAUGAAAUUUGAGGAGUCUCCCGAACUUCAUGCUGAUGUUGAUACCCGAGAAGGAGUUCCACCUAGAUAAAUAUUCAUGGCAUGCGGCUGAAUUCCUUUUGAUGGGUUUCAAUCCACACCCAUAGAUAUGGAUCUUAGGUGUUUAGGCUUAGGUGUCAAGGUAUUUGAUUGGUCAAUUAGAAAAUUUGAAUUUUAAAAGAGUCCUCAUGUGAUUAGGAGUCCAAUUUAAAAUUCUGUGUAGUCCUUAUCCUUUGCCAACCUUUCUUUCUAUAUAAAGGAGGGUAUGAUGAAUGAAAUUAGCUUUGGAUUUCGAAAUUGUUAUUUGUUUGCGUGAAGAGAGGCUACUCCUCUUGCUGGUGUGACGCCAAAGGGGCUGAGGGAAGGUGGGACGCCUCCCCUUCACUCCAUUUGAAAUUGGGUUGGUUUUGGAUGAGAUUUUCCUAACUAACUCAACCUUAUCCUUAUCCUUAUCCAUUCUCUUUCUCCUCACGCCUCCACCCUUUGUGUGCGCCAUCCUUGCUUGCCACCUCAUCCACCAGCAAUUUCCUCAUGCCCAUUACCCUCUCACGUCCUCCCCUUGGGUCCAAGGCAAUUCAAACUCUAAUUAAACCCAUUCAGCCUACAUGCAAAUGAACCAACCAAUUUCAGCUGCCCACUAAACUUGGUGCCUAAUUUUGGUCCAUUGGCUGACCCUCCUUGAACCCAAUCUCGCCAUCCAGCAACCCAUCUUCUUCCUCCUCCCUUCCACCACAAAGAACGUAGCCUCCAUUGCCAUUGCUUAGAGAAAAAAAAAAAAUUCAGCCAUCAUCAAAGAAGAAAAAUUCUGCAGCCCACCCCGUUCGGCGUCAACUCUUAACAAUCAACCUCCCAGAAUCAGACCAAAAAUUGAAUAUCAAUUAAAUAAUUUUAACCAAUCUUCGCAUUCAGGAUCUCAGGACCUUCUAGAUUUUCUUGGAUGCAUUUUCCUCAGAAAACCAUACAAGUUCCUCAGUAUGCUCCCAUAAUUAAAAAAAUCUGGGCUUCCCUGAAUUUCGUCGUCAGAACAUAAGUUGGAUAUAUGCUUAAUAACAUGGGCGGCUGACCU